UAUAGUUAUGAUAAAGUGGUCAAUAUGCAUUAGGCCUUAAAAUGAAUCCAAUUUUAGGGCGAUAGUUUCAUAUAGAACCAAAAUCAUAGCGUGUUCAUUCAUCUGCUAUGUACUGUAGAAGUUUGUAACAUUUUAUGGCAGUUUAGAACAUUUUGAUCCCAAGACUUGUCAUAUAUUCGACACGAUUAACCUAAUCUAAUACCAGGUUUUCCGGUUCGUUAUCGGAAGUUCAUGAUUGUGGUUGAACAAGGGUAUGAACUGCAUACUAUGUUAUUUGGACCGGGACGAAUGUAGGAUACUCAUGUACGAAUAUAUGUUUAAUACAGAUAUCCAACACGAAUACUUAAACAAUAAAUAAAGAAUCAGGGUCAUAUAGAUUGUAUCGUUUCAUCUCCCCUUGUUUUGCCUUCUAUUGUUAGCUUUUUCAACA